rnacentral:rRNA from 1 species
UACAGAGGGGCAAGCGUUGUUCGGAAUUACUGGGCGUAAAGGGCGCGUAGGCGGCCUUCUAAGUCGAACGUGAAAUCCCUGGGCUCAACCCAGGAACUGCGUCCGAUACUGGAAGGCUUGAAUCCGGGAGAGGGAUGCGGAAUUCCAGGUGUAGCGGUGAAAUGCGUAGAUAUCGAGAGGAACACCUGCGGCGAAGGCGGGUAGCUGGGCCGACACUGACGCUGAUGCGCGAAAGCCAGGGGAGCGAACGGG